rnacentral:lncRNA from 1 species
CCUCGCGGCCCCAAAUUCCGCGAGUCAGGUGACCCGGCCCCGGGCUCUGGCCGGGACCUGCGGGGGGUGCUCUCCGCCCUCCAGCCCCCGGCGCAUCUCCCCGGCCCGCGCGUCCCGGCUGUUCGUGGCUUGCUUUUAGUCUCCAGGGAUCGUGGGACCCUUCUCCGCGGAUCUGUUUCAUCCUCUUAACCUGAGGUGCAGAAACUGAGUUUCAAGUAGAUCCAGCAACUUGCCCAAGUCGUAAAACCAGAAAGAGUGGAGCCGAGAAUCAAAGCUUGGAUGCCUGACCAGAGUGGACCUUUGAAACACUCCUCUGUAUAUUGUCUUCAGGCUGCCUGUAUUUACAAACUCUGAUAUUGACCUCAUUACUUCUCCCCGUUCUGCAGGCAGAAGACUGCUAUGAGAGCACUUAGGACCCAAGCGACAUCAGCCUUGGAACAGGCAAAUAAAAAUGGAAAGCUA